rnacentral:rRNA from 1 species
ACGGCUCAGUAACACGUCGGUAACCUACCCUCGGGAGGGGGAUAACCCCGGGAAACUGGGGCUAAUUCCCCAUAGGCCUGAGGUACUGGAAGGUCCUCAGGCCGAAAGGGACUUAUGUCCGCCCGAGGAUGGGCCGGCGGCCGAUUAGGUAGUUGGUGGGGUAAUGGCCCACCAAGCCGAAGAUCGGUACGGGCUGUGAGAGCAGGAGCCCGGAGAUGGACACUGAGACACGGGUCCAGGCCCUACGGGGCGCAGCAGGCGCGAAACCUCCGCAAUGCGGGAAACCGCGACGGGGGGACCCCGAGUGCUGUGGCAACGCCACGGCUUUUCCGGAGUGUAAAAAGCUCCGGGAAUAAGGGCUGGGCAAGGCCGGUGGCAGCCGCCGCGGUAAUACCGGCGGCCCGAGUGGUGGCCGCUAUUAUUGGGCCUAAAGCGUCCGUAGCCGGGCCCGUAAGUCCCUGGCGAAAUCCCACGGCUCAACCGUGGGGCUUGCUGGGGAUACUGCGGGUCUUGGGACCGGGAGAGGCGGGGGGUACCCCUGGGGUAGGGGUGAAAUCCUAUAAUCCCAGGGGGACCGCCAGUGGCGAAGGCGCCCCGCUGGAACGGGUCCGACGGUGAGGGACGAAGGCCAGGGGAGCAAACCGGAUUAGAUACCCGGGUAGUCCUGGCUGUAAAGGAUGCGGGCUAGGUGUCGGGUGAGCCUCGAGCUCGCCCGGUGCCGUAGGGAAGCCGUUAAGCCCGCCGCCUGGGGAGUACGGCCGCAAGGCUGAAACUUAAAGGAAUUGGCGGGGGAG